AUUGAACGCUGGCGGCAGGCCUAACACAUGCAAGUCGAGCGGUAGAGAGGUGCUUGCAUCUCUUGAGAGCGGCGGACGGGUGAGUAAUGCCUAGGAAUCUGCCUAGUGGUGGGGGAUAACGUUCGGAAACGGACGCUAAUACCGCAUACGUCCUACGGGAGAAAGCGGGGGGAUCUUCGGACCUCGCGCCAUUAGAUGAGCCUAGGUCGGAUUAGCUAGUUGGUGAGGUAAUGGCUCACCAAGGCGACGAUCCGUAACUGGUCUGAGAGGAUGAUCAGUCACACUGGAACUGAGACACGGUCCAGACUCCUACGGGAGACAGCAGUGGGGAAUAUUGGACAAUGGGCGAAAGCCUGAUCCAGCCAUGCCGCGUGUGUGAAGAAGGUCUUCGGAUUGUAAAGCACUUUAAGUUGGGAGGAAGGGUAGUAACCUAAUACGUUGCUACUUUGACGUUACCGACAGAAUAAGCA
rnacentral:rRNA from 1 species